GGGCACGUGGUGUAGUUGGUUAUCACGCUCGCUUAGCAAUCUGUUCAUGUGCGAGAGGGGUCCGGUUCGAUCCCGGACGUGUCCA
rnacentral:tRNA from 2 species